UACGUAGGGGGCUAGCGUUGUUCGGAAUUACUGGGCGUAAAGGGCGCGCAGGCGGCUCUUCAAGUCAGAUGUGAAAGCCCCGGGCUCAACCUGGGAACUGCAUUUGAGACUGGAGAGCUUGAGUUCGGGAGAGGAGAGCGGAAUUCCCAGUGUAGAGGUGAAAUUCGUAGAUAUUGGGAAGAACACCGGUGGCGAAGGCGGCUCUCUGGACCGAUACUGACGCUGAGGCGCGAAAGCGUGGGGAGCGAACAGG
rnacentral:rRNA from 1 species